CCGCCCAAUGCGCCGCCCACACCUGCUUCAGUGGUGCCUCCGGCAGAGGCGACGCCGCUGACCAGGCCAAGGGACAACAAGAGAAUCGAGGAGAACUUCAUACAUGAGCCUCAAAGGGAUGACGGCGCGAUCCUGAGGCUGUGCCGCGGCGCUUACAAACGAAAUCCGACGAAUAGCACGAAUUGUACACAAUCCCGUAACUUAUUGUUUUUAAUGGGGAACUUAACUGGUUUUAGUGGGUCUACAGCUACUUCGGACAGGCCGCCCUUGCAUGCAGGGGCGGCCUU
rnacentral:sRNA from 1 species